rnacentral:rRNA from 1 species
CAGCCGCCACGGGAAUACGAAGGGUGCAAGCGUUACUCGGAAUUACUGGGCGUAAAGCGUGCGUAGGUGGUGGUUUAAGUCCGUUGUGAAAGCCCUGGGCUCAACCUGGGAAUUGCAGUGGAUACUGGGUCACUAGAGUGUGGUAGAGGAUAGUGGAAUUUCUGGUGUAGCAGUGAAAUGCGUAGAGAUCGGAAGGAACAUCUGUGGCGAAGGCGACUAUCUGGGCCAACACUGACACUGAGGCACGAAAGCGUGGGGAGCAAACAGGAUUAGAUACCCGCGUAGUCCCUGUCUCUUAUAC